rnacentral:rRNA from 1 species
CCUACGGGAGGCAGCAGUGGGGAAUAUUGCACAAUGGGGGAAACCCUGAUGCAGCGACGCCGCGUGAGUGAAGAAGUAAUUCGUUAUGUAAAGCUCUAUCAGCCGGGAAGAAAAUGACGGUACCUGAGUAAGCAGCCCCGGCUAACUACGUGCCAGCAGCCGCGGUCAUACGUAGGGGGCAGGCGUUAUCCGGAUUUACUGGGUGUAAAGGGAGCGUAGACGGCAGUGCAAGUCUGGAGUUAAAGGCGGGGGCUCAACCCCCGGACUGCUCUGGAAACUGUACGGCUGGAGUGCAGGAGAGGUAAGUGGAAUUCCUAGUGUAGCGGUGAAAUGCAUAGAUAUUAGGAGGAACACCAGUUGCGAAGGCGGCUUACUGGACUGUAACUGACGUUGAGGCUCGAAAGCGUGGGGAGCAAACAGGAUUAGAUACCCUUGUAGUC